CGUAGGUGAACCUGCGGAAGGAUCAUUAUUGAAAUAAACCUGAUGGGUUGCUGCUGGCUCUCUCGGGAGCAUGUGCACACUUGUCAUCUUUAUAUCUCCACCUGUGCACCUUUUGUAGAUCUGGAUAUUUUUCUGAAUGCCUGGCAUUCAGGUUUGAGGAUUGACUUUUGUCUUUCCUUACAUUUCCAGGCCUAUGUUUUCUUCAUAUACACCAUUUAUGUUAUAGAAUGUAAUAAAGGGCCUUUGUGCCUACAAACCUUAUACAACUUUCAGCAACGGAUCUCUUGGCUCUCGCAUCGAUGAAGAACGCAGCGAAAUGCGAUAAGUAAUGUGAAUUGCAGAAUUCAGUGAAUCAUCGAAUCUUUGAACGCACCUUGCGCUCCUUGGUAUUCCGAGGAGCAUGCCUGUUUGAGUGUCAUUAAUAUAUCAACCUCCUCAGGUUUUGACUUGUCGAGUGUUUGGAUGUGGGGGUCUUUUGCUGGUCUCUUUUGAGGUCGGCUCCCCUAAAAUGCAUUAGCGGAACAAUUUGUUGACCCGUUCAUUGGUGUGAUAACUAUCUACGCUUUUGAGGUGAAACAGGUUCAGCUUCUAACAGUCCAUUAACUUGGACAAAUUUUCAUUAAUGUGACCUCAAAUCAGGUAGGACUACCCGCUGAACUUAAGCAUAUCAAUAAGCGGAGGAAAAGAAACUAACAAGGAUUCCCCUAGUAACUGCGAGUGAAGCGGGAAAAGCUCAAAUUUAAAAUCUGGCAGUCUUUGG
rnacentral:rRNA from 1 species